GGAGACUGCUGAGACCUCCAGCCCCGAUUCAGGGCAAGAAUGUACCUUUCUGUAAGCCAAGGAUUUGGAGGGAAGGUCUGCAGAAAUAACGGGAGCUGCUGCGCCCCAGCCCUACAGCGAUGGGAAGGGGACUGCAGCCUUAACCACACACCACCAACCCCACACUCAGGGCCACCCCUUUCCCGUCUCCCAGCCGCCGUGUGCCCUACAUUUUUCUCCCGGCGUUGCCUCCUUCCGCCCCCUUCUCCCCCCACCUCCAAUCCCUCCAAAUUAGAAAGCCGGGGCGGUGAAGGGGUCAGAGGCUGCCUGUGGGGCUGCUCCCCUCCCCCAGGCUGAAUCCAGCCGCCAGCGCGGCAAGGGAGGCGGGGCGCGCAGCUGGAAGCAGCCGGCGCGCGCGCAGCUCCAGCACCCGUGCGGCCGGCCGAGGUCGGAGUGGGAGGCCAGCGGCGGGCGCCACGUCAAGACUUUUCAGCUCCCAGGAACUGACCCAAAGAAAAUAAUAGAGACCAAAGAAGAGAGAUGUGUCCGGAAAUAUUCACAGCGGCAUAAAGGGAAAUGAUUUAAUAAAUCUUGGUACAUCA